AGCUGUUUCUAAUAAGUCCUCUGCUUUGCCAUCCCCAAAGAAUUAUGCAUGAAUCUCUUUCUCUUUUUCUUAAAGGUUCUCAAGCUGGCCACAUGUAUAGCCAUAGCUUGCCCUCCUGGACAUAGCAGUAUACCAAGCUUUUCAGCCAUCACUUUAGAAAUGACUCAGAAGAGUGGCAGUGGCCACAAUUAGCUAAGCAGUGACCUGAUUAGUGCUGGAUCAACAUGUUACCAACUCAAGGUUGUCACUACAACGUGAGUGUGGUGAAGUCUGCCUGUUCCAACUAAAAUGAAAGCAGUCUCUUGACGAAGAGCAGUGCUGAAGUCACCAGUUUCUGCAAAGGGGUCCUAAAUGCAGGUUGAAGGAUCUCUUCUGUGUAUAUAUGUAACUACCAGUGCCAAUCUCUAAUUCUUUAUAAUCAAG